GAUGAACGCUGGCGGCGUGCCUAAUACAUGCAAGUCGAGCGAACAGAUAAGGAGCUUGCUCCUUUGAAGUUAGCGGCGGACGGGUGAGUAACACGUGGGUAACCUACCUAUAAGACUGGGAUAACUUCGGGAAACCGGAGCUAAUACCUGAUAACAUUUAGAACCGCAUGGUUCUAAAGUGAAAGAUGGUUUUGCUAUCACUUAUAGAUGGACCCGCGCCGUAUUAGCUAGUUGGUAAGGUAACGGCUUACCAAGGCGACGAUACGUAGCCGACCUGAGAGGGUGAUCGGCCACACUGGAACUGAGACACGGUCCAGACUCCUACGGGAGGCAGCAGUAGGGAAUCUUCCGCAAUGGGCGAAAGCCUGACGGAGCAACGCCGCGUGAGUGAUGAAGGGUUUCGGCUCGUAAAACUCUGUUAUUAGGGAAGAACAAAUGUGUAAGUAACUGUGCACAUCUUGACGGUACCUAAUCAGAAAGCCACGGCUAACUACGUG
rnacentral:rRNA from 1 species